AUCUCUCUCGCGUUCCGGUUGCCUUCGUCCAGGCGAUCUCCCGCUCCAGGUCUGGUACGGUGAGCUCACGUGCUUCCCACCUCCCCGGCGCGACAACUAUCCGUUGCUCCGAUGGACUGCUGACCCCCAUCGAGCGGGAUGGGUCGCCCCACGCGCUUGGCCGUUGCUCAGCUCCUCCGCGCUGCAUCCGCGUGAAGCCCAGCAAGCUAGCUCACUUGGUAGCUUUUUUGUCUUGCUACACGGCCUGCUCUGUAAUUGAUGCACAGGAGUCCUACAAAAGUAGAUUAGAUGGUUGUGCGUGCUCUUCUCAUUUGUUUCGUAGUACUAUCCGUCCACGUCUUCUUCUUAUGCAUCUUGAUAAAUCCACCUAUUUAAGAUCUAAUGUAGCAUUUCUUUUUCAUGUUGUUGCUUCUGCAGGUUCUAAACAUUUUAUUCAUGGGUUGAGAACUGCUAAACCGUGAAUUUUCAGUUCUCAGGUAACUAAAAAGUUUGGAGUAAUCCACAUCAUUAUUUAAAGGAUUUGCAGAACCUGGCUCUGAGAUUUUUGUACUCCUGCUCGGAAUGCACUACAUUCAGUUAAGAAGUAAGACCUUUUUAUGGUGAGAUUUUUGUACUCCUGCUCGAAAUGCACUACAUUCAGUUAAGAAGUAAGACCUUCUUAUGGUUUUGGUACAUAGAUUCAUAGCUGUUAUCAAUUCAGACAUGUUUUGUGUUCGGUCAAGUUUUUAAUUUCUUCCGUUUUCCAGUUAAAAUGCCAACAUUGCUAUUCUAGGGCUAUCUUUUGUUUGCUAUUGGUAUGCGGCUGGAACUUUCAUAAUGUACGUAUCUAUGCAUUUCACAUCUUCAAUGAAAUGCUUGAUCAUGUCAUCUAUUCUUCUGAGAUUGCAGCACUCGAGCCGCGAGGUCCACCACUCCGUCUUGGAUGCCGCAUCCGGCACGGAUUCUAUGCAUUCAAUUAAAACACACGACAUCGGUUGGAGCACCAGUAAAACUGGUGUGUAUGUUGCUGUGGCGGUUUUCUCCCAUGGACCACCAGCUGGCCGAGUAUUAUGCAAACGUGCAAAGUUUGUUCCGGAGUUUCAGUUUGGCAAAGUUCCUCCACAGUUUCAGUCUGGCAACGUUCUCCCACAGUUCCAGUCUGGCAACUCAAGACAUCCAUCUGCCCGCCUUUCUCUUUGUAUUCUCUCGGAAUGGCUCCACUAAUGGGAUUUUUUUUUGCUCAAUGAUUGAUUACUGAAGUAUUUGCUCUGCUCUCCUCUACGUUGAUAUUGGAUUUACUGAUCUUGCUUUCAGAUUGUCAAUGAUGGCUUCACCCUAAAGCAGGACCACGACUCAUGGAAUUAACUUCAGGUAUCUGCAAAUGUCAGCCACAAAAUUUCAGUGCUUAAGAUAUCUACAACAGAUUUGCUUUUGCUUCAGACACAACCUGUUCAGUUCAGAUUACGAUAUUGCCAGAUAUUCAGAGCUUAACCUACCUACAACAGUUGCUGUAACUUUUCACACAAGCUGUUCAGUUUAGAUUGUGCUACUCCCUACUGCCACGUUAUGUGUGCCUUAUAUUAGUGGUUUGUUUUAUGUUAUGGUUCAGUUCUGUACUUCGUAAGUCCUGUGUGGCUCUAAUAAAUGAACUGGGGACUGCUUUUUUUUCUCU